CAAAUUGUUUGCACCUUCGAACUUCGGGUAUUGUUGCUCUCUGUUCAUGCAAGAAGGACCAGGGAAGUGGGAGAGUAAAGGAAUAAGCUCUCUAACAGUUAUUAAUAUAUUUUAUUUAUUAAAAACCUAGUUUUGAAUAGACAGUGCAAUAAAAUAUCAUUUUUCACAAAAAAUUACAAGGAGAUCUUCAGUUCUAAAAGCAGUUUGAGAAGUUCUAAAAUGUAACCAAACUUCUCCUUUCCCUUUAGGAUGCCUCGUGGGAUGGGUUGUGUAGCUGCCAUCCUGCUAUUCAGGAAAAGAAAUGAAGUAAGGAAGAGAAUAUUGAAGUCAUCCCUGUGGGUGGACCAGCCUGUGAUGUGAUCCAGCCAGAAGCCAGCCCCUACUAAUUAAGGAGAAAAAUGAUAGAAAUAAAUGUUAAGGAUCUCAAACAGAAAAACCAUUCAGUUAUUGACAUUUUUGCAUCCUAAUACUCUCACAAGCACGGCUGCAGAAUCAGUGGAGCAGACUUCCUUUUUUCAGCUUCGAAGCACUGGAAUGGGUUACCUAGGGAGGGGGUGGAAUCUCCUUCCUUAGAGGUUUUUAAGGUCAGGCUUGACAAAGCCCUGGCUGGGAUGAUUUAGUUGGGAAUUGGUCCUGCUUUGAGCACGGGGUUGGACUAGAUGACCUCCUGAGGUCCCUUCCAACCCUGAUAUUCUAUGAUUCUAUUCCCUCUGCUGUUGGGAUGAUAUUUGGGCUCACAGAGAUUUUGUUCCAGUUCCUGUUUUUAUUCACAGCCUUAUCCUGGAUUAUCUUUCACCUUUAACAUGAGAUAAAGGCCAAGCCAAGUCCAUCUUCUAAUCUAGGGAUCUGAGGACAAGUUUUGUUUUUU